GGGUUGUGAGGUUAAGCGACUAAGCGUACACGGUGGAUGCCCUGGCAGUCAGAGGCGAUGAAGGACGUGCUAAUCUGCGAUAAGCGUCGGUAAGGUGAUAUGAACCGUUAUAACCGGCGAUUUCCGAAUGGGGAAACCCAGUGUGUUUCGACACACUAUCAUUAACUGAAUCCAUAGGUUAAUGAGGCGAACCGGGGGAACUGAAACAUCUAAGUACCCCGAGGAAAAGAAAUCAACCGAGAUUCCCCCAGUAGCGGCGAGCGAACGGGGAGCAGCCCAGAGCCUGAAUCAGUAUGUGUGUUAGUGGAAGCGUCUGGAAAGGCGCGCGAUACAGGGUGACAGCCCCGUACACAAAAAUGCACAUGCUGUGAGCUCGAUGAGUAGGGCGGGACACGUGGUAUCCUGUCUGAAUAUGGGGGGACCAUCCUCCAAGGCUAAAUACUCCUGACUGACCGAUAGUGAACCAGUACCGUGAGGGAAAGGCGAAAAGAACCCCGGCGAGGGGAGUGAAAAAGAACCUGAAACCGUGUACGUACAAGCAGUGGGAGCACGCUUAGGCGUGUGACUGCGUACCUUUUGUAUAAUGGGUCAGCGACUUAUAUUCUGUAGCAAGGUUAACCGAAUAGGGGAGCCGAAGGGAAACCGAGUCUUAACUGGGCGUUAAGUUGCAGGGUAUAGACCCGAAACCCGGUGAUCUAGCCAUGGGCAGGUUGAAGGUUGGGUAACACUAACUGGAGGACCGAACCGACUAAUGUUGAAAAAUUAGCGGAUGACUUGUGGCUGGGGGUGAAAGGCCAAUCAAACCGGGAGAUAGCUGGUUCUCCCCGAAAGCUAUUUAGGUAGCGCCUCGUGAAUUCAUCUCCGGGGGUAGAGCACUGUUUCGGCAAGGGGGUCAUCCCGACUUACCAACCCGAUGCAAACUGCGAAUACCGGAGAAUGUUAUCACGGGAGACACACGGCGGGUGCUAACGUCCGUCGUGAAGAGGGAAACAACCCAGACCGCCAGCUAAGGUCCCAAAGUCAUGGUUAAGUGGGAAACGAUGUGGGAAGGCCCAGACAGCCAGGAUGUUGGCUUAGAAGCAGCCAUCAUUUAAAGAAAGCGUAAUAGCUCACUGGUCGAGUCGGCCUGCGCGGAAGAUGUAACGGGGCUAAACCAUGCACCGAAGCUGCGGCAGCGACGCUGAUGCGUUGUUGGGUAGGGGAGCGUUCUGUAAGCCUGCGAAGGUGUGCUGUGAGGCAUGCUGGAGGUAUCAGAAGUGCGAAUGCUGACAUAAGUAACGAUAAAGCGGGUGAAAAGCCCGCUCGCCGGAAGACCAAGGGUUCCUGUCCAACGUUAAUCGGGGCAGGGUGAGUCGACCCCUAAGGCGAGGCCGAAAGGCGUAGUCGAUGGGAAACAGGUUAAUAUUCCUGUACUUGGUGUUACUGCGAAGGGGGGACGGAGAAGGCUAUGUUGGCCGGGCGACGGUUGUCCCGGUUUAAGCGUGUAGGCUGGUUUUCCAGGCAAAUCCGGAAAAUCAAGGCUGAGGCGUGAUGACGAGGCACUACGGUGCUGAAGCAACAAAUGCCCUGCUUCCAGGAAAAGCCUCUAAGCAUCAGGUAACAUCAAAUCGUACCCCAAACCGACACAGGUGGUCAGGUAGAGAAUACCAAGGCGCUUGAGAGAACUCGGGUGAAGGAACUAGGCAAAAUGGUGCCGUAACUUCGGGAGAAGGCACGCUGAUAUGUAGGUGAAGUCCCUCGCGGAUGGAGCUGAAAUCAGUCGAAGAUACCAGCUGGCUGCAACUGUUUAUUAAAAACACAGCACUGUGCAAACACGAAAGUGGACGUAUACGGUGUGACGCCUGCCCGGUGCCGGAAGGUUAAUUGAUGGGGUUAGCGCAAGCGAAGCUCUUGAUCGAAGCCCCGGUAAACGGCGGCCGUAACUAUAACGGUCCUAAGGUAGCGAAAUUCCUUGUCGGGUAAGUUCCGACCUGCACGAAUGGCGUAAUGAUGGCCAGGCUGUCUCCACCCGAGACUCAGUGAAAUUGAACUCGCUGUGAAGAUGCAGUGUACCCGCGGCAAGACGGAAAGACCCCGUGAACCUUUACUAUAGCUUGACACUGAACAUUGAGCCUUGAUGUGUAGGAUAGGUGGGAGGCUUUGAAGUGUGGACGCCAGUCUGCAUGGAGCCGACCUUGAAAUACCACCCUUUAAUGUUUGAUGUUCUAACGUUGACCCGUAAUCCGGGUUGCGGACAGUGUCUGGUGGGUAGUUUGACUGGGGCGGUCUCCUCCUAAAGAGUAACGGAGGAGCACGAAGGUUGGCUAAUCCUGGUCGGACAUCAGGAGGUUAGUGCAAUGGCAUAAGCCAGCUUGACUGCGAGCGUGACGGCGCGAGCAGGUGCGAAAGCAGGUCAUAGUGAUCCGGUGGUUCUGAAUGGAAGGGCCAUCGCUCAACGGAUAAAAGGUACUCCGGGGAUAACAGGCUGAUACCGCCCAAGAGUUCAUAUCGACGGCGGUGUUUGGCACCUCGAUGUCGGCUCAUCACAUCCUGGGGCUGAAGUAGGUCCCAAGGGUAUGGCUGUUCGCCAUUUAAAGUGGUACGCGAGCUGGGUUUAGAACGUCGUGAGACAGUUCGGUCCCUAUCUGCCGUGGGCGCUGGAGAACUGAGGGGGGCUGCUCCUAGUACGAGAGGACCGGAGUGGACGCAUCACUGGUGUUCGGGUUGUCAUGCCAAUGGCACUGCCCGGUAGCUAAAUGCGGAAGAGAUAAGUGCUGAAAGCAUCUAAGCACGAAACUUGCCCCGAGAUGAGUUCUCCCUGACUCCUUGAGAGUCCUGAAGGAACGUUGAAGACGACGACGUUGAUAGGCCGGGUGUGUAAGCGCAGCGAUGCGUUGAGCUAACCGGUACUAAUGAACCGUGAGGCUUAACCUUACAACGCCGAAG
rnacentral:rRNA from 1 species